UACUGGAACACGCGCAGCUGCGAGUGGAGAGGGAGCGCGCGCGCCAGGCGGAGGUAACUUCAUGCACAGGAGGAGCGCACUUGUCUGUACCUGCGUUAACUGCGUGAAAACCCGCUCCGCUCCUCCACCUCUCCCUGGAGCCUGUCAGUGAAGUGCUGCGGGACCGAGCCCUGUUCUCUUUCUCCAUCCAGGAAGACGAGCGGACGGAGAAAGUCAUGGAGCGAGGAGGAGAUUUAAAAAGAAGCUAGCGCUCCCAGCCCCGGCAGCCCCGCGGAGAGAACACCACUGACGCCCCGCAGAACAGAAGAAGUGUCCGGGGAGAAAGGGGAACAAGAUGGGGAUGGAUCUCAGCACCCUCCGGACCCUCAUCAGCAGAUAUUGUGUUGGUGAGGAGAACUGGGUGGACAGCAGGACCAUCUACAUUGGACAAAAGGAGCCUCCUCCUGGUACUGAGGCCUUCAUACAGCAGAGAUUCCCAGACAACAGAAUAGUCUCCUCCAAGUACACAUUUUGGAACUUUAUACCGAAGAAUAUGUUCGAGCAGUUCAGGAGAGUCGCCAACUUCUACUUUCUCAUCAUAUUUCUGGUCCAGCUGAUCAUCGACACACCCACCAGUCCCAUCACCAGCGGGCUGCCGCUCUUCUUUGUAAUCACAGUCACGGCCAUUAAACAGGGUUAUGAGGACUGGUUGAGACACAAAGCAGACAACUCUGUCAACCUGUGUCCCGUCCUCGUGGUGCAGCAUGGGAAAGUGGUCCGCAAACAAAGUCGCAACCUCAGGGUUGGAGAUGUCGUCUUGGUGAAAGAAAAUGAAUCUUUUCCUUGUGACCUUAUACUUCUCGCCUCGGCUCGAGAUGAUGGGACCUGCUUUGUAACAACAGCCAGUCUGGAUGGGGAGAGCAGCCACAAGACAUACUAUGCAGUUCAAGACACCAAAGCCUACAACACAGAACAGGAGGUGGACUCAAUCCACGCCACAAUAGAAUGUGAACAGCCACAGCCAGACCUGUACAAGUUUGUGGGACGUAUCAACAUCUACAUGGAGAACGAGCCUACGGCCAGGCCUUUAGGAUCAGAGAACCUGCUGCUCAGAGGGGCCACACUCAAGAACACAGAGUACAUCUAUGCGGUUGCCAUCUACACCGGCAUGGAAACCAAGAUGGCUCUCAACUACCAGUCCAAGUCUCAGAAACGCUCUGCAGUAGAAAAGUCAAUGAAUGCCUACCUGGUGGUCUACCUGUGCAUUCUCAUCAGCAAGGCCCUCAUCAACACCGCACUUAAGUACGUGUGGCAGGCCGAUCCCAACAGAGACGAGCCGUGGUACAACGAUAGAACCGACACAGAGAGGCAGAGGCACAUUGUGGUCAGGGCGUUCACAGACUUCCUGGCUUUCAUGGUUCUCUUCAACUACAUCAUCCCCGUCUCCAUGUACGUCACCGUGGAAAUGCAGAAGUUCCUGGGUUCCUAUUUCAUCAUGUGGGACGACGAGAUGUUUGAUGAGGAGCUGGGGGAGCGAGCGGUGGUCAACACGUCAGACCUGAACGAGGAGCUGGGACAGGUGGAGUAUGUGUUUACCGACAAGACCGGGACUCUGACAGAGAACAACAUGGAGUUCAUUGAGUGCUGUGUGGACGGACAUGUUUAUGUGCCUCACGCCAUCUGUAAUGGACAGGUGAUGCCUGGUGCAGUUGGUAUGGACAUGAUCGACACGUCGCCAGGUCCCGGAGCCAGGGAGCACGAGGACCUGUUUUUCCGGGCGCUGUGUUUGUGCCACACGGUGCAGGUGAAGGAGGAGGAGACGGUGGACGGGAUCAAGCAAGGGAUCCACCAGGGCAAGUCCACCUCCUUCUACAUCUCCUCAUCGCCGGAUGAGGUGGCGCUGGUGGAGGGAAUGAAGAGGCUCGGUUUCACAUAUCUGAGACUCAAAGACAGUCACAUGGAGAUCUUGAACAGGGAGGAUGAGAUCGAGAGGUUCGAGCUGCUGGAGGUUUUGACAUUCGACUCAGUCAGACGGAGGAUGAGCGUCAUUGUCAGAGCUAGCACUGGUCAGCUCUAUCUGUUCUGCAAAGGUGCAGACUCCUCCAUCUUCCCUCGGGUUGUCUCAGGCAAGGUGGAUCAGGUUCGAGCUCGGGUGGAGCACAACGCGGUGGAGGGUCUGCGGACGCUUUGUGUUGCCUACAGGCCUUUGAGCCCUGAACAGUACCAGGAGGUUUGCCACUUGCUGAACGAGGCCAAGUUGUCGCUACAGGACCGCGACAAACGACUGGCUGAGGCCUAUGACAUCAUAGAGAAAGACCUGAUACUCCUGGGAGCCACCGCUGUGGAGGACAGGCUCCAGGAAAACGCAGCGGACACUAUCGAGUCUCUCCACAAGGCCGGCAUGAAGGUGUGGGUGCUGACAGGCGAUAAGAUGGAGACGGCGGCCGCAACCUGCUACGCCAGCAGGCUCUUCCAUCGCAACACCCAGAUCCUGGAGCUGACCACCAAGCGCACAGAGGAGCAGAGCCUGCAUGACGUCCUGUUUGACCUGAGCAGGACGGUCCUGAGGCAGCACGGAGGCAUGACCAGGGACACUUUCUCUGGCUUAUCAGGUGACUGCCCUGACUUUGGUCUGAUCAUUGACGGGGCCACCCUCUCUGCGGUGAUGAGGCCCGGCCAGGAGGACUCAAACUCGGGGAACUACAAAGAGAUCUUCCUAGAAAUCUGCCGCAACUGCAGCGCUGUGCUCUGCUGUCGAAUGGCGCCGCUCCAGAAAGCACAGAUCGUGAAGAUGAUCAAAACCUCUGAAGAACAUCCGAUCACACUGGCGAUUGGCGAUGGAGCGAAUGAUGUCAGCAUGAUCCUGGAAGCCCAUGUUGGCAUCGGUAUUAUGGGUAAAGAAGGUCGUCAGGCUGUGAGGAAUAGCGACUACGCCAUUCCGAAGUUCAAACACCUCAAGAAGAUUCUGCUUGUCCAUGGACACUAUUACUACAUACGCAUCUCCGAACUAGUGCAAUACUUCUUCUACAAGAAUGUCUGCUUCAUCUUCCCCCAGUUCCUUUACCAGUUCUUCUGUGGCUUCUCACAACAGCCCCUGUAUGAUACCGCCUACUUGACUCUGUACAACAUCAGCUUCACCUCGCUGCCCAUUCUGCUCUACAGUCUCAUAGAGCAGCACAUCAACAUGGAAAUCCUGAAGAAGGACCCAUCGCUGUAUAGAGAUAUUGCUAAGAACUCUUUGCUGCGAUGGCCCAACUUCAUAUAUUGGACCGUCCUGGGUGUAUAUGACGCCAUAGUGAUGUUCUUUGGUACUUACUUUCUGUUUGACAACACCACCUUCACCAGCAAUGGACAGAUGUUUGGAAACUGGACGUUUGGGACGCUGGUCUUCACUGUGCUCGUCUUCACUGUCACAUUCAAGUUGGCUCUAGAUACUCAUUACUGGACCUGGAUCAACCACUUUGUCAUCUGGGGCUCACUGAUCUUCUUUGUGGUCUUCUCUCUGCUGUGGGGAGGAAUCAUCUGGCCCUUCCUCAACUACCAGAGGAUGUACUAUGUGUUCAUGCAGAUGCUGUCCAGUGGUCCGGCCUGGCUCAGUAUCAUCCUCCUGAUAACAGCCAGUCUGUUACCAGAUGUGUUAAAGAAGGUGAUCUGGAGGGCGCUGUGGCCCACCACUACUGAACGCAUACAGAAUGCUGAUAAACUCUAUAAGGGCCACCUCUCAGAGUUCACCCCCCUGGCGUCCCUCCACGCCCCAUCCAAGGCUGGUGGCCACCGGCGAGGCUCGGGAAACCAAAGGAGCGCUGCGCACCCUCGAAGGUCUGAACCCUUUAACAAGAAAGUCAUGUUCACACGCUGGCAAAGAAAGCCAGACUACAGCACCUUCACCCCACUCCUCCGAUUCACAGAUGGCUCCCGCCACACGGGCUACGGAGGGGCGGGGCCUGAGACCUCAGUCUAAUUUAUUUCUCUUUAGUACUUUUUUAAAUCCUGAAUUUCUGAUAUCGGAUACAUUUGGAGCUCCCUGAGCAAAGAAGGUGACUAAGUGUUACUGAGCUGGAGUUAAAUGAUGGACCAUGUUGCUAGUAGCAUCUAUAAUCCAUCUCUGAGCGAUUACAGUGAACGUAACCUUUAUAACUUCUCAGCCAAGUGUGGCGCAAAGCACUAUGGGGCGACUCUGAAAGGACUCCAUCCACGAGGGCCUCAUGACGUGCAAAGGGCUCAGCGUACUGAUGUCACAGCAUAAAAACUUUGAUUAUAAGAGACUGAAAAUAUGCACACUGGCCCUUUACACCUGUCUGCCGCUGACAGCAGGCAGCUGAAGUGUACUUUUAGGAUUUAUACCACACUCCUUUAGAUGUGUUGUGAUUGGAAUUCUGCAGAUGAUGAUGACUGUGCUUUCUCAGCACAUGCUUUCUCUGAUCAACCAUUUUCUUUUCUUCCAUUCCUGCCAUCUCUCUCUGUCUCUCUGUCCAUCUGUUCUUCCUCUCUAUAGGACUAACUGGUGUUGCCUGUGUGCAAACUUAUUAUCCCGAAACACUCCAUAGGACUCUGGGGUCAGAUCCUUCAGCGCUCUAUCCCUUCUCUUUUUCUACCUUUCUCUCGUUCUCCACCUGCUGAAGCGACGCGGAUGUUUUCUCACCUCCAUCCGUCCUCCUCAUCACCCGCUUCCUCCAUCGGUCUGUCCAACCCUCCGUCUACACGUCCAUCGUGAGACAAAGUAGAAAUGGUUUUGUACUCGACUUUUAAUAGUUCUCAUAUGAACCAAAGCCUUGUUGCUGCUAGAAAUCCUCGUAGCUGCUUUACAUUAGGUGCCUUGUGGUAGUGAACUGUCUUCGCUCGCUUUUAUGGUGAAUUCUACUACUUAUAAUCAGCGUUUGGAUGGAAAGGUACUGCAGAUGAUGGCUGUAUGGAGGAGAGACUAAGAAAAGGUGGAUGUAAGUGUCAGGUUCUACUGUCCAGUAGCAUUUAUUAUAAAUGCCGUACUGAAAUAUGAUUGGUCUGCAAUCAAUGAACAAAUUAAUCAGCACUUGCACCAAAAAUAUUCAACAACAAUCGAUGUUUAAUAUCAGUUUUUUAUUGUUUUUAUUCCAAUUGUUUUAUAUAUGUCCACGGGGGCAUUUUGUCUCUGAAAUGUUAUUUUUACUGUUUUCAUUAUGUAUAAAGUUUUAAAUUCCCAAUCACCACAUUAAGAGGGAGUAAGGGUCUCGUGCAGUGGUCUGAGCACAUUGGAAAGAUAUCAGCCCAAUGGUGUUUCUUUAUUCUACAGACACUGAAACAUUGCUUCAGCUCUGCUUGAUUUGUGUUACAAACUGGAAUUUGUUUUGAGUAUAUAUUCUGUGUAUGUUUACUUUAAUGUCUGACUCCGACAUCAAAAUUAACAGCAAAGCAGUCUUAUACCAUUAAUUUAUAUAUUACAAAAGAAACAAUAAUUCUGAAAAGAGACAAAUCCAAACUUCAAAUAAAACAGUAGAUCUUAAAAUACGUAUAUUUCUGCAAUGUGGGUGAACUGAGCCUUAAUGUUCUCAGGAUUACGAAUGUAAACAUGUCAUCAGAGAUCCUCCUCCUCCUGCUGUUGUUUGUGUGGAUUUAAAUUGGGCUUUGACACAUUCAGUUUAUCGUAGAGGUUUUUGUCAGACGUAACCGUGCCAGUAUUUAGUAUCUUAAAAAUCGUUUUCCCACCGGAAUCCAAAAUAAGAGGUAUGAGUAUCGGCACUUAGAGGCACUCUGGAGUCUUUUAAAGAAUCAUCAGAGGAAAGGAAUCCGUGCCAUAAGCCCCUUUUUCAUUCAGUCAGGCAUCUCCCAUCACAGAACAGUUGCAGAAAAGGAAUAUCAAGAGCUUUGUGUCUGCUCUGUGUUCCACGUGUCAUGAGGCUUUGUUACUAUUUAUCUUUUUUUACUUUCUGGACACUGUAUUCGACGCAUGUCUUAUUUUGUGUAGAAGCCGAUUCGAACAACACCGGACAUGUAGCUUUAAAAAUGAGUAUUCUAAAAAGACAAGAGAUUCCCGUGGUGUCCGCUCAGAUACACCCCUGCACUGAACCGUCUUCGUCUGAUGAUUGACACGUCGCUGUAGGAAUCUUUCAAAGCCAUUAAAUGGUGGAUCUAAGGUCUUUACUGUACUGAUCACUCUCUGUCCGGAUCUUUCAACACCACUGAAACUGACAGCCUUCAAACCGAAUGUUAUCUUCUCUCUUUUACAAUGUAUUAUUGUGUCAUGUUCUGUAUGUCUCAUAACCAAACAGUAUCUAUAACGUCUGUACACACACUGAUACAGUAUACAUAUAUAAAUAUAUAUAUAUAUAAGAUAUAAAUGUAGUUAUAUUAAUUGAUGUACAGUUUUGGGGUCUUUUUGUAUACAGUUUUUAAACAGUCAUAUCAAGAUUUACUUGUGGGUUUUUGCCAACCUUUCUGUAGCUAUCGAUGGAAAACAGCUGUACAUGUGCUUAAGAAUAAAAGCCAGAGGUGGAAAUAUUAAAA